rnacentral:rRNA from 1 species
CGGACGGGUGAGUAAUGUCUGGGAAACUGCCUGAUGGAGGGGGAUAACUACUGGAAACGGUAGCUAAUACCGCAUAACGUCGCAAGACCAAAGAGGGGGACCUUCGGGCCUCUUGCCAUCGGAUGUGCCCAGAUGGGAUUAGCUUGUUGGUGGGGUAACGGCUCACCAAGGCGACGAUCCCUAGCUGGUCUGAGAGGAUGACCAGCCACACUGGAACUGAGACACGGUCCAGACUCCUACGGGAGGCAGCAGUGGGGAAUAUUGCACAAUGGGCGCAAGCCUGAUGCAGCCAUGCCGCGUGUAUGAAGAAGGCCUUCGGGUUGUAAAGUACUUUCAGCGGGGAGGAAGGGAGUAAAGUUAAUACCUUUGCUCAUUGACGUUACCCGCAGAAGAAGCACCGGCUAACUCCGUGCCAGCAGCCGCGGUAAUACGGAGGGUGCAAGCGUUAAUCGGAAUUACUGGGCGUAAAGCGCACGCAGGCGGUUUGUUA